CAUUACAACAAGAUUAUGGCGCACCAAGUUAUACUCCCAAUAAGGAAUAUAAAAAAAUAUGCUCCUCUUUUACCAUGUAUUUUUCAUCACCCCACUUACCUCUUCACUUGACUUGCCUAGAGUAAACUUUAUAUCUUUAACUUGAUCCAGCACUUGUGACCCAGAUAUUGCGCAAGGUGCAUGUCUUCUUUCUUUAGUCCCAUCAAAUGAUU
rnacentral:lncRNA from 1 species